CACGUAGGGCGCAAGCGUUGUCCGGAAUUAUUGGGCGUAAAGAGCUCGUAGGCGGUCUGUUACGUCUGCUGUGAAAACCCUGGGCUUAACCCUGGGCUUGCAGUGGAUACGGGCAGACUAGAGGCAGGUAGGGGAGAAUGGAAUUCCCGGUGUAGCGGUGAAAUGCGCAGAUAUCAGGAGGAACACCAAUGGCGAAGGCAGCUCGCUGGGACGGUACUGACGCUGAGACGCGAAAGCGUGGGGAGCAAACAGG
rnacentral:rRNA from 1 species